UCGGGAUUGCCGGCAAGAGCCUUCCUGUCCUUAGCACACAGGAUUUCUGGGAUCCAAGGGUGUGACUGGAGAUGAGCUAUGAGCUGUGGCAUGGAUGUGCUAACAACCUUUGGCAGGAAGAAGAGGACUGGACCAGCACUUCAUCCUGGUCAGAGACAUUCCAAGGCCAAGGAAUUGCCACGCCAAGGAGCGGCUGUGAAGUGACAGUCGGACAAAGAGGCAGAAAUUGAAGUGAAACAUCUCACAAAGCGUAAAUAUUGAGAACAUCUGGAGCACUGGGCCAGCCAACUAUUGCCCAGCUUUCCCAAGCAGACAUUAUUCCAUGCCACAGCAACGGAUACAAUCGGAACCCAACUUGGCUUUGAAGGAACCCAAGCAAAUCCAGCCGUGACCACUUCAGGAGGUGAAUCAAAGCCACCAGCUUAAAACCUCUUGCUGUUGUUUCUUCUCUUAGAGAACCUGGAUGAAAUGUUUUUAAUAAAAGACUCCUUCCUUCC